rnacentral:rRNA from 1 species
AUGAAAGUGGGUGGUAAACCCAGCUGCAAAGUAAACCGAGCGCGCGGGAACGGCGGCCUGAAUCUGAAGGGCGACGGUCCCUCCCCGGUCGGCGAUGUCAUCGGCAUUCAGUCCCGCCAAGCUGAUGUGAUUUGGUCAACCACUCUGUCCGUGACGAGUGACGGCAGCAGAACUCUGGUGCUGUUUUCCAAGUGCCGGUCAAACCCACGACACGAGCGCUCCUUUACGCAACGGGAAGCAGAGCUGCUCUGCUUUUCGAUCUACGUUGGUUUGGUGCAACGAUUCCAAACAAGCGCGUGUGAGUUUUGGACAAUCUCGUUUACUACCAACAUCGACAUCGAAAAGCAUGGGGCCUUCACGAGCUGUCUCCUGCUGCCUGGUCCUCCUCUUCCUCGUCUCCUCGUCCAGCGCCUCCGUUCUACUAAAGACGCGUGCAAAUCCAUCGCCGCCGACAAGGAAAAAAGCAUCGGCUACAACUACUGCAUCAAGUUUUUCGAGGCGAGCAAGGGCAGCGGCACCGCCGACAAGCGUGGCUUGGCCGUCAUCGCGUCGAAGCUCAACAGAGCGGCAGCCAAGAGCAUGGUCAAGCGCAUCCACGCCCUCAGGGCCUCGGAGAAGGACAAGCUCGAUGCUGCGGCUAAAGGCGUCGAGGCGGGUACACCGGAAGGCAAAUUUGGCGCGGAGACGAACCUCACCGGCGCGUUCGACGCCCCCGACACCUGCGAGACCGGGUUCAGCGAGAGGGGCCUGAAGUCGCCGCUCGUCGCCGAGGACGCCGAGUUCACUAAGGAGGUGUACAUCGCGAUGGCUCACGGCAAUUUACAUUUCCGCCGCUGUGGCAGUUAUCAUUGUGCAAAAUUUUUCAGAAUGGCUCGUGGCGAUCAUCAAAAUGAUGAUGAUGAUUUCAUGGAUCCACCACAGCGUAAUCGUGCAACUGCACGGAGAAAAGAGGGUGAUGAGAAGAAGAAACGUAUUCGCAACAGAGCCUCCCAAGAACGACUGACUACGUUGACUGACAAAUUCACCGACGAUCAGAAGGGAGCUGCUGCUGAGAUGGGUAUGCAGGCUAUGAUGGAUGUCCGGUGCACGAACCUUGUCAACCCCGUAUGCGACUGGCUUGGUGAGAUCUAUGACCCCGCCUCUAGGGAAUUCGUGAUUCCGGGACGUGGAAGACUACCGUUGAACGAGGAUUCUGUGUUAUGCACUUUGGGUGUGCCUCGUGGACAUAUCAAAGUCCCAUACGAGCUCAAUAAUGAGAUCGAGCAAGAGCUGGUCCCCCGUUUGUUUCCUGGGUUGGAAUCCAUGCCGAACACGUCUGCAGUGGCAGAUUCGCUGCAGGCCAUGACGACACAUGGAGAUGUUUUCAAGAUGAAGCUACUCAUGUACCUCAUCUCAGCUGUUUUCGCGCCGAGCACUUCUCUUCGCCCAAGCAACAAAUGUUUCCCCAUCCUGGCGGAUCUGAAAAAUGUGAAGAACAUGAAUUGGUGUAAGUUUAUCGCCGACUUCCUGCAUGAUGCAUUCUCCAGCAAGAUGUUCCAAAAGGGUUGUCGACUGCAUUUAAUGCUCAUGUACGUCAACUGUCUUGAUCUGUCCACCGUGGAUUUCACUGGGACUGGAGGCCCGCCGCCUGCGCACAAGUUUGCUGUUUCUGCGUGGACUAUCAACGCUGUCAAGGUUGUGCUUGCCGCAGACAAGGCUACUGACACCACAUAUGGAAAACUGCAGCUGAUGGCCAAGCAUGCUAUAGACUACAGCGUGUUUGGGGGGCCUCAAAAGUUUGGAAAGUGGAUGGACGUGCACUCAGCUCCGUCUUGCCCUGCCGAGGCUAGGGCACCUGUUGAGCAUCUAAUAGGGCAGUUUGCAUCCGGAAUGACCGGCUUGCUCGGUAAGUUGGUUGAGGGGUGGACGUCCCUCAGUGGCUCUGACAGCGACGCGGUUGCGAGGCAGUUCACUUCAUUUGUCCUAGAACGUACACAUCGGCCAACCAGUUGCCAUGGCCGGUAUGACUACAACAGUUCCCAAGAGCCUGCUGACACACAAGAUGAACUAGGUGGAGAUGCUGGUCUCAGCAAGGAUGACGACGAUGACAUGGAGAAUGAUGCUGCUGUGAGCCAUGCCACCCCAUCAGCAAGCAUUGAAGUGGACGCCCCCGAGACGAACCUAAGCAAGGAAGAUUCCCGCUCAUCUGACACUGAUUCCAAGCGCGUGCGUGUUGGCCCUCCUGUGUCCACGACAGAAGCGGCUGAGGCGGCAGUUCACAAUGAUAUGCCAUCUACAGGUGAGAGUCCUGGCACAACAACUCCAGCUCCUGUCGGUGAAGAUACUGCUAAGGUGACUGUUUCACGUGCUGGUCUUCCACCUAGGCGUCGUAGCCCCCGCAAGCAACCAACAGACAUACCCAACGCACCGGCUGUAGCUAGGAGCAGGAGAGACGAGUCUGGUUAUGUUCCUACGUCCACACUGUUCCCGCCACUUGCCAGAAGCAAUGUGAUGGAGAAACCGGAAGUCCGGAGCAUAGCUGAUGCAGGUGUCAAGCCGGGCACGAGUGACGCAGGUGAACACCCGGAGCAGACUGCGCCUUUACCCGCAGUGGAAAUCCCUAGCUUAAAUCUACGCACUUCCAGGCUCCCAGUCAAUGUGGGUGUCCCCUACAGCCCAAACAAGAAGAUUGUUAUGAAAGAUGCGGCUGAUACAUCUGACAACACGCCCCGCCCUGCAAAUAAGCCUGAUCAUUCUGUAGCGGCCGAUUCAGAUAUGUUUGUCGAUCUUUCACCCUUGGAUUCUGCCCCGCAAGUCGUUCGUGGUCUGGCCAGUAGGCAUGAGAGGAACCCAAUGGCCUUCACCCCACCGAGCUUCAGCCUUGGCAUCAGUCAAGAUCAACCGGUGGUGCAAGAUCCUAUGCCAGUUGCCUUUGCUUUCCCGGGAGGCAUGCCCGCAAUGAUGGCGCAGCCAAUGGUCGAGGGCAGGAAGGUUGUCAAUUUCGCAGAGCCGGUAGUGCAAGAUACGGUAUCUGAGGAUACCAUUAGGAGUGCCACCCCUGGUUCUGUGAGGCAGCAGAGGGUAGUUCACCCACCUCCCGCGGAAGACUACGAGCCUGAAUUCAGAGCCACUAAGGAACAGACCCAGCUGUACGAUAUUGUCAAGCGGUUUGGAAAUGCGAGGGCCAGCAGCAAGCACAUGAAGGAGCUGAAAGCAACCAAAGUCAUUCAAUGCGAAGCGACGUACGUCGACCUGGGCGAUCUUGUCGAGUCUGUGAGGCCAAACGGUAAAAUGUCGACGAAUGUAGUUGCACGCGGGAUCGACUACAUCAACAAUCACACCGAUGUGUGUGCCGGCAAGAUAAUCAUGCAUUACAGUGUGACAUGCAAAAUAUGGGAUGGUGACUUCCACCAUAAAAUCCAGAGGAAGAAUUUUGCUCAACACGGUGAAUUCAAGCUCACACUAAAGAAAUAUGUCAUGUUCCCCAUGUUCCAGGAGCUUGCACCACAUGACCCACACGACAAGUGUGGUCACCACUAUGUGAUCUAUCUUGACCUGAAGAACCAAUGUUUUGAGGUGCUUGAUUCAAUCCGUUCGGAAGCUGAUGCAGACCUUACUACACAUGCCGAAUUCUUCAUCAACAACCUCAAAGAGACAUGGAACCAUCACUACGAACACUCAAAGGUCCAGAUCAGGCAUUUCCUGACUGAGACGAACUGUGGCUUUCACACGUUGGAAUACUUUGCAAAGUGGGAAGGUAGACUUGUCCCUGCUGUCACAGCUGCAACGGUCGUUGAGCUCCGAAAAAUCUACACACGGAACUGGUUGACGAAUGAAGAUUUCAACAAGCGGUCCCGAGCACGCGAGUUCAUGGAGGAAGCUGUCAAGAAAGUCACCAAGAAGUACAAGUGA